GAUGAACGCUGGCGGCGUGCCUAAUACAUGCAAGUCGAGCGAACGGACGAGAAGCUUGCUUUUCUGAUGUUAGCGGCGGACGUGUGAGUAACACGUGGAUAACCUACCUAUAAGACUGUGAUACCUUCGGGAAACCGUUGCUAAUACCGGCUAAUAUUUUGAACCGCAUGGUUCAAAUGUGAACGACGGUCUUGCUGUUACUUAUUGAUGGAUCCGCGCUGCAUUAGCUAGUUGGUAAGGUAACGGCUUACCAAGGCAACGAUGCAUAGCCGACCUGAGCGGGUGAUCGGCCACACUGGAACUGAGACACGGUCCAGACUCCUACGGGAGGCAGCAGUAGGGAAUCUUCCGCAAUGGGCGAAAGCCUGACGGAGCAACGCCGCGUGAGUGAUGAAGGUCUUCGGAUCGUAAAACACUGUUAUUAGGGAAGAACACAUGUGUAAGAAACUGUGCACAUCUUGACGGUACCUAAACAGAAAGCAACGGCUAACUACGUG
rnacentral:rRNA from 1 species